UGCCCGGUCGUCUAAUGGCAGGACGCAUGGCUCUGGACCAUGUUGCGAAGGUUCGAGUCCUUCCCGGGCAGCCA
rnacentral:tRNA from 1 species